GACGAACGCUGGCGGCGUGCCUAAUACAUGCAAGUAGAGCGCUGAAGGAGGAGCUUGCUUCUCUGGAUGAGUUGCGAACGGGUGAGUAACGCGUAGGUAACCUGCCUGGUAGCGGGGGAUAACUAUUGGAAACGAUAGCUAAUACCGCAUAAGAGUAGAUGUUGCAUGACAUUUGCUUAAAAGGUGCAAUUGCAUCACUACCAGAUGGACCUGCGUUGUAUUAGCUAGUUGGUGGGGUAACGGCUCACCAAGGCGACGAUACAUAGCCGACCUGAGAGGGGGAUCGGCCACACUGGGACUGAGACACGGCCCAGACUCCUACGGGAGGCAGCAGUAGGGAAUCUUCGGCAAUGGACGGAAGUCUGACCGAGCAACGCCGCGUGAGUGAAGAAGGUUUUCGGAUCGUAAAGCUCUGUUGUAAGAGAAGAACGAGUGUGAGAGUGGAAAGUUCACACUGUGACGGUAUCUUACCAGAAAGGGACGGCUAACUACGUG
rnacentral:rRNA from 1 species